rnacentral:rRNA from 1 species
GACGAACGCUGGCGGCGUGCUUAACACAUGCAAGUCGAACGCUGAAGCUCAGCUUUUGUUGGGUGGAUGAGUGGCGAACGGGUGAGUAACACGUGAGUAACCUGCCCCCUUCUUUGGGAUAACGCCCGGAAACGGGUGCUAAUACUGGAUAUUCACUGGUCUUCGCAUGGGGGUUGGUGGAAAGGGUUUUUCUGGUGGGGGAUGGGCUCGCGGCCUAUCAGCUUGUUGGUGGGGUGAUGGCCUACCAAGGCUUUGACGGGUAGCCGGCCUGAGAGGGCGACCGGUCACAUUGGGACUGAGAUACGGCCCAGACUCCGACGGGGGGCAGCAGUGGGGAAUAUUGCACAAUGGGCGCAAGCCUGAUGCAGCGACGCCGCGUGAGGGAUGGAGGCCUUCGGGUUGUGAACCUCUUUCGCUCAUGGUCAAGCCGCAACAAUGGUUGUGGUGAGGGUAGUGGGUAAAGAAGCGCCGGCUAACUACGUG